ACAUCGCGUCGAAAUACCUGUUCCCGUAAGAUUACCAAAAUUAAGCAACGUCGAGCCUGGUCAGUACCUAGAUGGGUGACCACUUGUGAAUACAAGGUGCU